rnacentral:rRNA from 1 species
CCCUAUUAUAAUUAAUGUAAUUAAAGUUUUGAGUAGUAUAUGAUUUGGACAGGAAACUUAAAGAAUUUGGCGGUGUAUAUUCUGAUUAGAGGAAUAUGAUUUUUAAUUGAUAACCCACAAUUAUCUUACUUAAAUUUAUUUAUUUUGUAUACCUCCGUCUUAAAAAGAUUUUUUAAAAUAUUUUUUUUGUAUUAUAGGUUGAAAAAAGUCAGGUCAAGGUGCAGAUUAUGUUUAAGUUAAAUUGUAUUACAAUAAAUGUAUUUUUGGAUUUUUAUCAAAUAAAUAAAGUUAAAUUGGAUUUAUAAGUAAAUAAGCUUUAUAAUAGUUUAUUGAAUUAUGUUAAUAUACAUGUACACAUC